rnacentral:lncRNA from 1 species
GUGAUAUGUGCAUUCAUCACUGCCAUCAUUUAACUCUGCACUCUAGCCUGAGCAGCCAGGAACCUUGAAUUCCAUUCCAUGCCCUUCAUCAUCUGGUUUGUCCAUACUUGUGCAUAUCUUCCAGUCCCAAUAGCAAGAGCUUUUCUAUAGCUGAAUUAAAAUAGUUUUUUCUCCAUUUGAUGGACCACCACCCUUCAUGGAUCAGAUAAAAAUAACUUAUCUUGCCAGUGCACUCACUAGUGUCAUUGUAAGUCCCUGUGUAAUAAGCCUUAAUCGGCAGAGUAGAUGUUAGAAUCUGAUUCUUUCAGAUUUCCCUAGAUUUGAACUACUUUAUGUACUAAAACAUUAAAUAUGCUUAACGUAAGACAUCCAGGGUGGUUUUCAUGUAGGAAAAAAAAAAAAAAAAAAAAAUUAAGAGAACUACAGUGCUUUGAUCUGUGUCUAAUACUGCAACUUCUAAAAAGUACUGUUCCAUAGAUGGACUAUAGUCUCUGUGUUUAGUAAAUGUCAAGGAGCCAUCCUGAUCUAGAUGUAGCUGCACAAAUAUGGAAGAUGGAAUGGUUCAGUACAAUGAUUUACAGAAGAAUACAUAAAGUUGCAUAAAAUUAUGCUCAGUCAUAGAAAUCAAAUCUUCCCUUAGACAUUACUCUGCAUUGUUAACCUACUUUAUUUACAACCAAGGAUUAUUCCUAUAAAUAUUCCAGGAUCACAAAUUCUCACUAAUAAACAACAUAAGAAGGUCUUCCUCCCUUUGACCUCCUCAGCUGGCCAGUCGUCUCUGGGUAUUUGACUCCUCCCAUGACACUCUUUAAAGACCUCCAUUGCCUGGCACCCUGGACUCUGCUCUGGGUGCUGGGGGCAGCCAGCCUCCUGCACCAGGGCUCAGCCUCCUGGCCUCUGCAUGGAUCCAGUCUCAACGGCACAGCACAGGAAUUGUCAGCAGCACCAGUGGGAGGAGCUGCUCAGGGAGCCCGAGCACGGUGCACUCCAUAGGGGCACUGUGCACUCCAUGGAACACUGUGCACUCCAUGGAACACUGUGCACUCCAGAGGAAUGGUGGAUGGGCAGGAGCUGCCCCAAGGGCUCAUCACAGCAAGGCCUCCCCCAUGGAAUCUCAGGAGAAAGUACCCUGGGAGUACCUCAUAACAAGUACCUGCUAAACAAUGAUAAUAAGAAAUGUUCUUCCUACACCCAAUGCUUUUAAUUGCACUUUUAUUGUACACACAGCAGAUAUACUUCCUGAGAAAGAUUCUUCCUAAGCUGCAAAUUGUGUGGAAUACUGUAUCACUGGGGCUUGUACCUUUUUUAUUAUUCAACUCUCAAAAUAGGACAGGCCUUAAAGAAGUACAUACCCCUGCUCACUACUUUUUCUCCUACCAGCUUUUGCCUCACUGAAAUGCUUCUCAUAUGAUUCCCAAGAGUUUCAAGGUAUGACGAGAAGAUUUUAUCUU